rnacentral:rRNA from 1 species
CACCAGCGCCACGAGUGGGAACCGCAUUUACUUGGCCUAAAGCGUCCGUAGCCGGUUUGAUAAAUUUUUUGUGAAGUUGUUGGACUUAAUCUAACAACGUGCAGAAAAGACUGUCAAACUUGGAACUGGGAGGAGUUAGGGGAAUUCUGAGGGGAGCGGUAAAAUGCUAUAAUCCUCGGAGGACCACCUGUGGCGUCGACACACGCGUUAGUAUGUGUUGCUACAUAAGGCGCCUAACUAGAACAGUUUCGACGGUGAGGGACGAAAGCCAGGGGAGCGAUCCGGAUUAGAUUUUGUGAAGAAUAAAUGUUCAAUUUAACUACGCUUCGCAACUAAAAACCCGAGUAGUCCUGGCUGUAAACUCUGCGAGCAAGGUGUUGCACAUUCUACGUGAAUGUACAGUGUCGAAAUGAAGAUGUUAAGCUCGCCGCCUGGGAAGUACGGUCGCAAGACUGAAACUUAAAGGAAUUGGCGGGGGAGCACUACAAGGGGUGCGGCGUGCGGUUUAAUCUAAUUCAACGCAGAAAAUCUCACCAGGAGCGACGGCAGGAUGAAAGUCAGGUUAAAGGCCUUACUAGACAAGCCGAGAGGUAGUGCAUGGCCGUCGUCAGCUCGUGCCGUAGCCUUAAUUGCAUAAGCAAUUAUGGCGGCAUAGGUGUCCUGUUAACUUCUCUAAGGGAGUUUCAUAGUGAACUUAGGGAGCGACAGAAAGUCAGGCAACGAGCAAGACCUGUACUCACAAUUGCUAACAAGUCUUUUAAGAUGAUUGAGCACAUUGUGGGGACUGCCUUCGAAAGGAGGAGGAAGGUGCAGGCUACGAUAGGUCUGUAUGCUCCGAAUCUUCUGGGCUACACGCGCGCAACAAUGGUAGAGACAAUGGGAUACAACUCCGAAAGGAGAAGUUAAACCUCGAAACUCUAUCUUAGUCCAGAUCGAGGACUGUAACUCGUCCUCGUGACGAUGGAAUCCCUAGUAAUCAGAGUUCAUCAUACUCUGGUGAAUAUGUCCCUGCUCC